CCUGUGUUGGUUGUUGCGCAGAGACAGUUUUUGUAAAGUAUUUUGUAGCUGGUCCUGCUGAGGGGAGAAGGGGAAGGCACCUUGGGAGUGUUUAGGCAAGAGGCCUGCAGGCAUACAUAUACCCGUAGUAUGUACUCUGUCUAUGCACACUAGGACCUGAACCCUAGGAUCAUGCCUCAGGACUACCUGGCCUGAUGACUCCUGGCUGUCCCCAGUCCACCUGUUCGUGCUGCUGCUCCAGUUUCAACUGUUCUGCUUGUGGCUAGGGAACCUUGACCUGUUCACCAGAUGUGCUACCUUGUCUCAGACCUGCUGUUUUCAACUCUCUCCCUCCCGCACCUGCUGUCUCGACCUCUGAAUGCUCGCCUAUGAGAAGCCGACUGACAUUUACUCCUGAGUUACUGACCUGUUGCAGCCUCUACAACCACUGUGAUUAUUAUUUGACCCUGCUGGUCAUCUAUGACUGUUAGAACAUCUUGAAGAUCAAUCUGGCAUUAAAUGGCCAUGUACUCUUAUAAUCUCCACCCAGCAUAGCCAGAAGAGUGGCCAACCCUCAGAGCCUGUUUCUUCCUAGAUCCUGCCUUUCUAGGGAGUUUUUCCUAGCCACCGUGUUUCUACAUCUGCAUUGCUUGUGGUUUGGGGUUUUAGACUAGGUUUCUGUAUAGCACUGUGUGACAUCUGCUGAUGUGAAAAGGGCUGUAUAAAUACAUUUGAUUGACUACUUGAAUGCAAUUCAAUAUAAUGUGGUGUUCAAUGUUUUUAAA
ensembl:lncRNA